ACUGUUCAUGACUUCACCACACAAACUUCCCUCAUGUAUUGGGAGGGACCAAGGGGCUCUCUGGUUCUGCACCUGCGUUAAUUACCACCGGGAGGUGCACACUAGGACCCCAAGGCCUGGGACCAGUCUGGGUCGGGGCAGAGAAGCGGUGGAUGUGGCUCCCGAAGUGUCUUAGGGGCUCCCUUCCCUGUGGCUGUUUCCUGACUGGAUGCAGCAGGGUCAGGCCUUUCACUGUGACGUUUUCUACUCCUUAUUAGAGUGGCAGGAGCGUCCCUGUGAGAGGCCUGACCCAGGUGUGGGCCUUGCAGCCAGCCCCGUGUCCAAGGGGCACUCCUGGGAGUGCAGAGGAGGAUUUGUGACAGCCUAGAGGAUAGAGGAAAAGGUGGCUUUGAAAAGGUUUGUGAGCCGCUCCUGGUCCCCUGCUGCUCCGUGAGAAAUCAAACUUCUGGCAAUGACGAAGCAUGAAGCCAGCAUCUUAGGGAGAGGUAGUGACAUAAUUGCACGGUAAGACCAGCCGCCCUGGUCUCGCUGUCUCCUGGCAGGCAGGAGAGGUGUGGAAACAGCCAGGCUCCCCUUAGCAUGGCAGAACUGCUCUGGACUCGGGGAGGUGUGGAUUCGAGGGCGGGAGCUAUGCCUGGCAUACUGGGAGUUGUCAUCUUUGAUUAGCUUCCAGUUUUUUAAUUGCAGGGCGACCGGAUUACAAUCUCAGCCAGCAUGAACAGGGGGUGGCACGCAGUACUGAAGGGGGAAGCCGGGCUGUGCCGGCUUCGCUGUGCAUUCUGGGAGCUGUAGUCUCUUCACCGCUCCUGCCCGUUGUUUCAAGCGCUUCGGGACUACAAUCCCAGUAUUCCCCGGGCUCGGGGGCGGGGCGCAGUUCUCGUGGGAGGAGCGAGGCACCGCGCUCCUGGCCAGGCAAGCUGGAAACGGUAUCUCUUAACGGUUCCCUGCCCCUUGGUGGCAAGGCGGCUGGACUAGAAUCUCAGCAGGCGACAUGCGAGGAGGCGGGCAACCCAGGAGGGUUGGGCAAGGCAGUGUGGACCUCGACGCUUCCACAGCGAUGCUGGCUACUGAUCGCGGGCACCUCUUUGCCAUGGGAACCAGAGCGCAGUGCAGCCGCUAUGGCUAGAAAUCCGCCGCCUGGCCAGCCUGUGCACAAGUUCAGAGCUUUGCAGGGGGUGACAUGGACUGUGGCUUCGUGAAAAUGUCACCCUCACCAGCGCCUUUUUCGCAGAUAUGGAUGUUGAGGCGGCAGGGAGUGUCAUUAUUGGUUUACCCAGGAGAUGCUAAGAGCAGAGGAGAAAAUCUCACUUCCCAGGCGUGUCCUUGGUGCGCCAUUUCCCGCCAACCCAUUUGGUGGAAAGUUCGCCAAAUAGCUACCUAAAGAUGAAAAUGGUUUAGGCAUUUUACACGUGACAUCAAUGGCCUAAUCUCAACUGAGGCCUGACUGGGCAGUGUCUCAAAGACGCAGAUGGCGACCUGAUCCUCAGGAACAGGUGGUGCUCCAGCUUUGUGGAAGCCCAAGGUGUGGAGCACUUGGGGCAUCUUUGAAACUCCUCAGGCUUCACAACUUUGCUUUGAAUGGAAUGUUCAUCACCCCCGGCAUUCACGGAGUUACCUUUACUCUCUCGGGCUGAUCUGUUUAAUUUUUCUAUCUAGACAAUGGAAACUUCUGGGAGUACUUCUAGUUUUGUGUAGCUUCCUAAUCAUUGAUGUCCCUUAUUUCCAUAUGUCCUCAGGGACAGUUUUGAUUCUGGAACGGCACCAGCUUUUAUGCUUUUUAUGUUUAAUCUGUAAAAACCAUGGUUUUUUACAUGAAAAUAAGACCUUGCUCAUACCACACAUUACAACAGGCUUCAUUCGUGAUUCCUGAAUGUGGCUUACUAUUAAAAAAAAAAAAAAAACCCUAAAAACCCUGGUAAUGGAUAUUAGACACUGUAAUUGUACUUUGUAAAGAAUUUUCUCCUUCAGGAUCAAUUACACUUGGGCUCAUCAGCACCUUUGU
ensembl:lincRNA